UAGGGAAUCUUCCGCAAUGGACGCAAGUCUGACGGAGCAACGCCGCGUGAGUGAAGAAGGAUUUCGGUUCGUAAAACUCUGUUGUUAGAGAAGAACAGCGCAUAGAGUAACUGUUAUGCGUGUGACGGUAUCUAACCAGAAAGCCACGGCUAACUACGUGCCAGCAGCCGCGGUAAUACGUAGGUGGCAAGCGUUGUCCGGAUUUAUUGGGCGUAAAGCGAGCGCAGGCGGUCAAUUAAGUCUGAUGUGAAAGCCCCCGGCUCAACCGGGGAGGGUCAUUGGAAACUGGUUGACUUGAGUGCAGAAGAGGAGAGUGGAAUUCCAUGUGUAACGGUGAAAUGCGUAGAUAUAUGGAGGAACACCAGUGGCGAAGGCGACUCUCUGGUCUGUAACUGACGCUGAGGUUCGAAAGCGUGGGUAGCAAACAGG
rnacentral:rRNA from 1 species